rnacentral:lncRNA from 1 species
GUGCAUGUGCAUUGGUGUAUGCGCCAAUUCAUCUGGCGCAUACACCUAAAUUGUUUUUUUUAAUGGUUUAUUUAACAAUUAAUUAAAUAAAAUAUUUAAAAAAAUUAUUUAUGUUAUAACAAAAAUUACAUGGAAUUGAUAAAAAAAUUCAAUGACCGGCCUGAUCGAAACGUCCCCCUGUUCCACAUCCAGGUGCGUUAGUCUGUCUUCGAGGUCUCCCACGAUUUUCCUGAGGUGUUUGGGAUCUUUGAGUGCUGACAUGACCCAGUGGUGGCUGGUGUGAAGGUUCGGUGAAAGGUCCAACGGUAUUUGAUAGAUGUGUCAUCAUUUGUUCCCAAUAGUCGGGGGGCUCUGGCCAACGGCGCUUUCGUAAUGGAGUUCGGUGCCCAUGUUAUCGUAGUUGGGUCGAUGUGGUUGGGUGAAUUGUGGACAAUAUAGUUGCCUGAAUUAGGAUAUUGAAUCAUUUUGGAAAUGAAGCAAUGGUUCCUGAGGUGUACUAUAGUUAAACAAUGGUUGGGUGUUUUGGUGAUGAGAUGUUUAGGUGAUCAUUGAAAGGGGGCUACGAUGAAGUGAACCGUAUGAAUCAUCUGACCUAUAGACUGUUGUGGUGGCUGCGUAUGAUUGUUGGUGGGUAGGGUUUGAUUCUUGGUUUUAAGGUUGGGUGUGUGGCAUGAAUGAGUUGUGAGGUUGGGUGUUUGGUUGUUGGGUGUAUGUGGUAGGGUGAUGGUGUGAAGUUGGUUGUUGGGUUUGGGUGGUUUGACAUUGGUGUUGGACGGGGACUUGUUGUUGGGCGUAUGAUGACGAAACUAGUUGGCGUGGAUCAAUCAAAUACCUUGGCUCAGACACAAAUUGUUGCGUUGUAACCGACCUAAACCAUACCAUAUAUUGUUGAGUAGGUCUAGCACCCUGUAUGACUGGUUCGCUUAAGAUGUGUUGUCGUCGAUUCCUCCAAUGACGAUACAUCUCUUUCACAUGGAACUAUCAGUUUAUUGUAAAGUUGAUAGAACUAAUGCAUUGAGGUAUAAAAUUUAUUGUAGAAACGAGCACUGCCUUUUCAGGUUGUCAGCUUCGUAUAGGAAGAUAAGUGAUUCUUGGGAGAUCGGAUCCAUGAACUCAAUGCAAGACCAUUGAAAACUUAGCUCUCAGUUAAUAUGCGAUGAAAUUUUGUUUGUCAUUAGCGACAAUCCUUCAUUAAAGGUGAGUACAAUAAUCUCGCAUAUUGUAGCACAAUACAAAUAUACCCCAUCAUAUAGGAAGACUUGGAUAGUUAGGACAAAGAUGGUUGAAAAAGUGUAUGGCAAUUGGGAGGAGUCUUAUAAACAACUUCCAAAAUACUUGUUGGCUCUUAAACAGUAUGCUCCAGGGACUAUUGUCAAGUUGGAAACGUUGUCGACGUAUACAUCGGACGAGACUUGUGCUAUUGGAAAUUGAAUAUUUCACCGUCUCUUUUGGACGUAUCAACCAUGCAUCAAAGGUUUUUCUUUUUGUAAAUCUAUUAUACAAAUUGAUGGUAUAUGGUUGUAUGGGAAAUAUAAAUGAACGUUACUGAUGGCAGUGGCACAAGAUGGCAACAUCAACAUUUUUCCAAUCGCCUUUGCCCUUGUUGAAGGGGAGACUGCUGAUGGAUGAAGUUUUUUCCUAAGAAAUCUCUGAUUCCACGUUGUUCAUCAAUCUAACUUAUGUUUGAUCUCCGAUCGACACCCUUCAAUAGUAAGUGCAUGCAACCGAUGAAAAAGAUUCAUGGGAGAAGUACAUAGAUUCAUUGGAGUUAUAUUCAUUUUAGAAUGUAGAAUACAAUUAUACACGUUUUCAUUGUAUGGAUUCAAGUUUAAGAUAAUAUCAUCUAUUAUGCUCUUUGUAAUUUGAUAUAUAUUCUGGCAUUCUGUUUCUUACUUUCGUUUACUAAUAGUAUACGAAACCAAUGUUUUAAAAUUGUGGCAUUCUAUUUCUUACUUUCGUUUAUUAAUAGUAUACGAAACCAAUGUUUUAAAACUCUGGCAUUCUAUUUCUUACUUUCGUUUACUAAUAGUAUGCGAAACCAAUGUUUUAAAGAUUCGGUCAAACUACAAAUAAUUAUGUUAUUGAUAGGAUCAAUGGAUCACUUUUCGGACACAUGAAUUUUAAUAAUGUAAAAAUAUAACUUUUUUUUUGAUAAUAUGAUUUUUUUUAAAAAACUUUUGUUAAUUUAAAAUAUUACUAUAUUAUAUAAUUAAUUGCCUAACAUUUUAAACUUAUUAUAUUUUUAUAUUGAAUGAUUAAUAAUAAGUUAAGUUUAAUGAAAAUUAUAAUGUUAUAAUUAUAGAAUAUAUAACUCUCUUCGCAUUAAUUAAAUUAAACAUCAAAGAGAUUCAUAGUGCAAUUGAUAAAAUUACAAUCCUAAUAAUUUUGAAAGGUUACAAGUCCGAUUCUUAAAAUUUGACAAAAUUUUAUUUUUAGAAUUUUAAUAUUAUUUAGUUAUUAAUAACAUAAUUAUAAAUAUUAAUAAAAUCAAAUUUAAAAACAAGAGCCCAAAUUUUAAGAAAAGUGAAAAUAUGAGAUAAAAAUUAUAAUUAAGCUAAAAAAUAAUAAACUUAAAAAGAUUAAUUUGCCGUAUCAAGAAACUCAUCGGUUCACUAGUUUGACUAGUGAACCGGUUGGAUCACACCGGUUUUCACCUGGUCAAUUACAGUUAUGGUUUAAUUGUUAUAAGUAAUUCAUAUUCAGAAGUAGUAUUGUUAAUCAGAAGCAGGAGCUUCUAAUGUGGUUGUUACAGAAGUAGUGUUUAGCUUUUAGUUGUAGUUGAUUUUAAGUUUUUCAUAAGGUGCAUUACUCAGCUAGCAUAGAUUAGCAUUUUGCCUACGUGUCAUUUUUGUUUGUGUAUAUAAAUCAAACGUGUAAUAGAAUUUCAUAAUGCAAUCAAUAGAGUUUCUCUCAAAAGUUAGUUAGAUAUCUCUCUCUCUCUCUCUCUCUCUCUCUCUCUCUCUCUCUCUCUCUCUCUCUCUAUAUAUAUAUAUAUAUAUAUAUCAAUCUUCAUCUUCAACCUUGUGCACCAAAAAUUGGUAUCUAGAGCUCCGAUUCGAUUCACAGGGAAACACGAGUGUAUUCUAUAUAUAUAUAUAUAUAUAUAUCAAUCUUCAUCUUCAACCUUGUGCACCAAAAAUUGGUAUCUAGAGCUCCGAUUCGAUUCACAGGGAAACACGAGUGUACGGUCAUGCGUGUGUGAUUGAUUUCAUUUCUUGAAUUCUGAAUUCAUGACCGGAAUCUUAACAGAAUCAUAUUUCUUGAAUUUGAGGGAUUGGGAAACACGAGUGUUUGGUGAGAUUUGUGUGAGUUUCAGUGCACAAAAUUGAAGAUGAACGGCGAAAAUGGUAGCUUGAAUACAAAGCUUCCAGUGUUUGAUUGAAAGAGUUGGAAUCAGUGGUGGAUUCAUAUGUGUGUGUUGUUUGGCGCUCAAGACAUUCUUGAUCUCGCCAACGACAAUUAUGUUCUGGUUGCGAAGGAUGUGAUAGAAGCACAAAGAAAUGUGUAAAUAGAAAUGAGGAAGAUAGAUUAAAAGGCGUUGUUCUAAAUCCAUUAGUGUAUGGAUGCGAACGUGUUUGAGAAAAUUGUUGAUUCGACGACGCCGAAAGCUGCGUGGGACACACUGGUACAGUGCUACAGCGGUGAUGCAUAAGUGAAGAAGGUAAAGCUUCAGUCUCUACGUAAACAGUAUGAGAAUCUCGACAUGAAGAGCAAUGAGCAGAUACCUGAUUAUAUCUCUAGAGUGAUUCUGAUCACCAAUGAAGUGAAAUCUUAUGGAGAAACUUUGUUAGAACAAGUAAUCUUUGAAAAGGUAAUGAGAUCUCUUACUCCUCAAUUUGAUUACAUUGUUGUAGCAAUUGAACAUUCUAAAUACCCCAUCACCAUAAGGAUUGAAGAGCUACAUAGCAGUUUAGAGGCACAAGAGUUGCGUCUGACUGUGAGAACCUCUGAAAGAGAGGUAGAGCAGGCUCUGAAGGCGUCUUGGUCAGAAGCUAAGAAGAGACACGGUGGUGGUUUUAGAAGUCAGAAGCCUCCAAUUCUGGUGAGAAGAAACAUCAUAAGGGAAAGGAGAAGUUUGACAAGAAGAAUGUUCAAUGUUACUGUUGUAAGAAGUUUGGCCACUUUGCUGCUGACUGUUGGUCAAACAAGGAAAGGAAAUCAAAAGAAACAAACAUAGUCAAAGAAGAUUCUGAUGAUGAACUUGUGUUAUUGAUGGCUUCUAAAUUUGAUGGUGCGUAUUUGGUAGACUAGUGGUAUAUGGACACUAGCUGCUCAAAUCACCUAUCUGGAAACAAACAAUGGCUGGUUGAUUUUGACUCCAAAAAUAUGAUAAAGAUCAGAUGUGCUGAUGAUAAAUACCUUAAUGCUGAAGGUAUGAGAAAUGUCAAAGUCAAGGUGAAGAAUGGUAAAAUUGUUCUGAUCAAGGAUGUUUGGUAUGUUCUUGGCAUGAAGAGCAAUCUUAAGAAUGUAAGUUAGCUCAUUGAGAAAUGUUUCUCAGUUACUAUGAAGAACAAUCUCUUGAAGUUGUAUGGUUCUGAUCAGAAUCUAAUUAUGCAAUCUAAGCAGGGAAGUAACAGAACAUUCAAGGCGAAUGUGGAGAAAACUGAAACUACAUUCCUUGGUGUAGAAGACACUAAAGGUGAGAGUGAGUUGUGGCACAAGAGAUUAGAGCAUCUUAAAUUUAGAAGCUUAUGGCAUAUGAAUUCUAAGAAGCUGGUAUAUGGCAUUCCCAAGAUUGUGAAGCCUGAGAAUUCAUGUGAGAUAUGCAUGAAAGGCAAGCAACCUAGAUUGUCAUUUGCAUCAGAAGUAGCCAUGAGAGAAAACAUGCUUUGGGAGUAGUACACUUUGAUGUUUGUGGAUCAUUUGAAGUACCUUCACUUGGAGGAAACAAAUAUUUUGUGUCAUUUGUGGAUGACUUUACAGUAAUUACAUGGGUAGCACUCAUCAAGUUUAAGCAUGAGAUGUUUGCUGAGUUUCAGAAGUUCAAGGUGAAGGCUGAAAAACAUAGUGGUCAGAAGUUGAAAGUUCUCAUAACUAACGAUAAAGGUGGGUAUAACUCUACAGAGUUCAGAAAGUUUUGUAUGGAAAAUGAAAUUGAGCAUGAGGUGGCAACUCUAUACACUCCUCAACACAAUGGUCUUGUUGAAAGAAGAAAUCAAACUUUUCUUGAUAUGAGAAGGAGCAUGUUGAAGGAGAAAAAGCUUCCUCAUACCUUGUGGGAGAAGUUGUUGCCACUGCAACAUAUAUGCUCAACAUGUGUCCAAUAAAGAAGCUGAAGGAAACUGCUCCUUUUGAGAAGUGGACUGGUGAUAAGCAAAGUGUGAGUCAUUUUAGGAUAUUCGGUUCUGUUUGUUACAAACAUGUUCCAGGUGCUACUAGAAAGAAGUUGGAUGAUAGAAGUAAAGUAAUGUUACUGAUUGGGUAAUACAGUACAGAUGCGUAUAAGCUUUAUUGUCCAGUCACUAAUAAGGUGGAAUUAGCAGAAAUGUUGUUGUGAAAGAAUCAUAAGCAUGGGAUUGAAAUGAGUCUCAAUCCAAUGUUAGUGCAAUGUUAACACAUGAGUUAACUUCUGAAUAGAUUUAUGACUCUAAAGGAGAAUAUGCUUCUGAAGGGGAUUCUGCCUCUGAAGAUGAGUCAGAGUCUGAUGGUGAUUCUGAGCCUGAAGGUGAGUCAGAGUCUGAUAGUAACUCUAAAUUUGAAGAAGACUCAGAAGGUGAAUCUGAUGAUGAUUCAGAUUCUGGUGGUAAUCCAACCUCUGACGGUGGUCAUGCCUCUAAAGGUGGACCUUCUGAAGGUGGUUCAGCCUCCGAAACCAGGCCACGGAGAAUCGUCAGAUACCACAGAUAUUUGCAGAGUUUGACAUGUUGCAAAAUACUGAGAUAGACUCUAAAGAGGAAGUUAUUUAGUGUGUCAUGUUAGUAGACUCUGAACCAGUUAGUAUUGAAGAAACUCUCAAGAAGAAAGUGUGGAUGAAGUCCAUGGAAAAAAACUUAAGGCUAUAGAAAGAAACAAUACUUGGGAUUUGACUGAGCUUCCAAAGGAGAAGAAAGUCAUCAGCGUCAGAUAGGUUUUCAAGGUGAAGUUAAAGCCAAAUAGAUCAAUUGGAAAACACAAAGAAAGGUUAGUAGAAAGAGGAUUUCUCUUGAAACCUGGAUUAUAUUAUUUUGAAGUGUUUGCACCUGUAGCUAGACAUGAAACAGUCAGAUUGGUGAUUGUUAUAGCUGCUAAUAGAAAUUGGUCUCUAAUACAUCUGGAUGUGAAAUCCUUCUUUUUGAAUGUUCCAUUGCAAGAAGAGGUAUACGUGUCACAACCUCCUGGAUUUAUUAAAAAGAAUCAGAAAGGGAUGGUGUAGAGGUUACAUAAAGCGUUGUAUGGACUGAAACAAGCUCUGAGAGCUUGAAAUCUGAAAAAUUGAUUCAUUUUUCAAGCUCCAAGGAUUCUAAAAGUGUGAGAUAGAGUAUGGAGUUUAUGUCCAACGUAUUUCUGAAGGCAAUAUGAUUUUGGUGUGCCUUUAUGUUGAUGACAUAUUGCUAACAGGAAGUUAUUCAGAUGAGUUAUUCAAGUUCAAGAAGGUGCGGAUGAAUGAGUUUGAGAUGACUGAUCUGGGAAAUAUGGUAUAUUUUCUAGGAAUGGAGAUUUUGUACUCUGAGAAAGGUAUCAUUUUGCAUCAGCUGAAGUAUGAACGUGAUAUUAUGAAGAGAUUUAAGCUAACAAAUUGUAAGACUGCAAUCACGCCUGCUGAGACGAAUCACAAGUUGGAUUCUGAUGUUGAGGGUGAUGAUGUAGAUGCUAUAACUUUUAAACAAUCGGUUGGCUCAUUGAGGUAUUUGUCUAACAUCAGACCUGAUAUAUGUUAUGCAGUUGGAAUGGUAAGUAGGUUUAUGAACAAACCAAAGUGAUCACAUUACCAAGUUGCUGUCAGGAUUCUGAGGUAUAUUAAGGGGACUUUGAAGUAUGUAGUAUUGUUUCCUUCUGGUGUUAAAUCUGAUUCAGAGCUGAUAUGUUAUUCAAACUCUGAUUGGUGUGGAGACAAAUUUGACAAAAGAAGUACUUCUAGAUAUUUUUUCAAGUAUUUGGGAGGUCCUACCUCUUGGUGCUCCAAGAAGCAAUCAGUGGUUGCAUUGUCAACCUGUGAAGUCGAGUAUAUUGCAGGUGCUUUGUUUGUGUGUCAAAUACUAUUUGGCUUAUGACUUUGUUGUAGGAUUUGAAGAUCAUAGUGAACAAGUCUGUGAAGCUAAUGAUUGACAAUAGAUCAACCAUAAGUCUUGUCAAAAAUCCAGUGAUGAAUGGAAGAAGCAAGUAUAUUGACGCGAAGUUUCAUUUUAUGAGGAAUCAGAUUCAGAAUGGGGUGCUAAAAGAUGUGCAUCAGAAGCAAAUUGCAGAUGUUCUGACUGAAGUUGUGAAGACUGAACACUUUGUCCACCUGAGGGAUGAAAUUGGUGUCGUAGAGUUUAGUUAGCUAAAUAUGAUUUAAGGGAUGGUGUUAAAAGUAAUCCAUAUUCAAAAGUAGUAUUGUUAAUGAGAAGCAGAAGCUUCUGAUGUGCCUGUUCCAGAAGUGGUGUUUAGCUUCUGGUUAUAGUUAGUUUUAAGUUUAUCAGAGGGUGCACUACUCAGCUAGCGUAGGUUAGCAUUUUGUCUACGUGGCAUUUUUAUUUGUGUAUAUAAACCAAAUAUGUAACAAAAUUUUAUAAUGCAAUUAAUAGAGUUUCUCUAAAAAGUUAGUCAGAUCUAUUUUCUCUCUAUUCUCUCUCUCCAUCUUCAUCACAUUCCUCUUCAAUCUUGUGCAUCAACACCAAUGAUCUUACCGGACCGCUCUACCCUCCAGUUCACGGUCUAACCGGUCCGAUCGACUGUUGUUAUUGGUAUAUGAAAUGCUUUGUUUUAUCCAUCGAUAAUUAUUAACUGGUAAUUUCCUAGUUAAUUAACUACUUGUGUUACAAAUUCUAAACAUUAAUUAGAGAAAGUUAUGAUCUGAGACUUCUAUUAACUUGAAUGUUUAACCUACACACUCAAACAACUCGUCCAAUCGAUAAAUUAUUCUUGUUUUGUUAUCAUCAAAAUGUUAAAAAUAAGUCAUUAUUAUUUUACAAUUGUUUAUAAACAACUUGUUUCUUAAAAAAUUGAUUUUCUUUACAAAACACUAUUGUGUUUCAAUCUACCAAGCACAACACAAACACCUCUAAGAAUAGGCGCAGUGUUCGAUAUGUAUCGGCGUUCAACACUUAUAUGACACUCGUACGAUACGUGUUGAAAAAGUCAAACAAUUUUCGAAAAAAAUCACACAAAUAUAUCCAAAUAAAUGAUUCAUUUUCUUUGCAUCGACACUCUUAAAAUCAGUGUCAGACACCAUAUGACAACCCUCAUACAACAAGUGUCGACAAUUAUAGAAGUGUUUAAAAAUGACUAUGUUUUGAUUAGAUAUAUAUAUAUAUGUUUUAUAUUUUUGAUAAUAUUAGUGUCAGAGUGUCUGUAUCAGUUCGUGUUUUGUUGUUCGUACUUCAUAGGUUUCAAUUAGGUAAAAAAAAAUGAUAAAUCACUACUAAAUGUGUUAUACAUUUGGCAAAAGACACAUUUUGUAAUUUAGUUAGUUAGCAAAUACUAGUAGUAAGCAAUAAAUAUCGAUUUUCAGUUAAUGAGUUACACACAACCAAGUUAUUUAUAGGAACAUCGAUAAUAAUUUAAGGAUUAAUUACAAAAACUAUAAAAUUUAAGGUGGCCUAGUUUUUUUCUGAAUAAAUAAAUAUAUCGAAAUUUUGAAAUGUGAAUAAAUAAAAAAAGACUAUGAUGUAUACCUUCUAACAUGAAUAAAAUAAUUAAUUAAGUGAAAGUAUUUUAAGAAAUAAAAAUUUCAAAUUAUUUUUGGGGAGAUGCAAAGAGAAAUUUUGAUUUUCACUAUACCACUCAUUUUAUAUAUGGCAUGUUUCAAGUGUCAAUACAUUGUGUAUUAUUCUAUUACUCUCAGGAGUUCUCAAAACAAAUAUGUCAUUUCAAAUUUAUUUAUAGGCUAACUCUUAGCGUGUUGUUAAAAAUGUUAAAUUAACUUAAAACUUAGUAUAUAUUAGUUAAGUUAAAUAAAUGUAAAAAGUGAUUGAUAUUUAUAAAUCAUGUCAAAAUAUUUAAUAAAUUUUGUAAUUACAAAAUUAAAUAGACAUUCUUAUUUAUUGAACAAUUACAAUAAAAAUGAUUUUAUAAUAUGUUCUACUUGUGCAUAUAUAUGUGUGUUUUCAAGCAAAUAGUGUAUUAUUCCAAUGAAUAACUUUAUUACGGUCCAACAACAAAAUAUCUUUUUACUGUCAUGAAAGGUUAAAAAAUAGUAAUAAAUUGUUAAAAAAGAAAAUUUUCUCUUAUCUAUCAUGAAAGGUCAACAAAAUUCUUUUUGCUAUGAAGUAAUUUACUUAAGAGAUAUUGAAUAAUACUUAUAACUUUAUGAAGUGUGUUUUACACUUUGUAAGUGCUACAAACCAUUUAAUUAUUUAUAGAAGAGCAUGAAUUUAUACAAUAAAAGAGAUCAAAUUUUGCAAACAAAGAAGAAGAAAUAUGGUUGGAAUUAUUAAGCUUCGCUACAUUAUGAUUAUAUUUCUUUCCUUAUUUCUUGUUGCAGCAAAAGUUGAUGAUGGUAAGUCAUUAUUUCAUGAUUUUCAAAUUUAUUUCUUUAAUUGAUAGUUCUUACACAAUAUAUUAUUACAUUUUAGUAAUUUUAAUUUAGUUUUUUCUUACAGAUUAUUAUGAACCAUAUUGUGAAAUUGAUUCGGAUUGUCUUCAAGUAUGGAACACAUACUAUGUUUGUAAGUGCAUUAAUGAAAGAUGUAAAUGGGUUAAAAGAGACCCUUGAAUGUACCAAAACACCUUAUGUAGGAGAAUAUGUUGUUGUGAUAGCAGGAAAAAAAAUGUGCAACAUACCUUAUGAAAGAAUAUUUCUUGAAUUUGUGAUUUUGCACGUUAAGAUGUUAAUUAGAUAUAACACAUUUCUUGAAUUUAUGAUUUUGCACGUUAAGAUGUUAAUUAGAUAUAACACAUAGUAUUAUUUAGAUUGCAUUUAUCUCACUUAAUUUUAGAGAUAUUAUCAUGACAUUCAAUUCACACGCAUUACACCUUAUUACUAAACCCGUUAGAUAUAAGAAUAAUUUUAAUAGUUAGGAAAGAAAUAGAAUGAGAUCAAGAGAGGAAGAAAUAUAAUUGAAAUAUAACUAGAGAGAGAAUAGAAUAAGAAUAAGAGAUCUUGCUUGAGCUAAGGUCUUGAAAUUUAGAGAAAAAAUAUAUGGAAGAGGGAAGAAUAUAUAACCAGAGAAAAACUUUGAUAAAGAUAGACUUGUCCCUUAGUGACAAAUACAAACUCAUUUUUAACUAGUGAUUUUACAUUUAUUUUUACUAAUGUUACUAUUAAAAUACUAUGAAUUAUCUCCCACUAAAUAUCGCCUAUCAGAGCACAGACCCAUAAUGAUAACUAACAAAGGUCACAUCAAAAAAUGAGGAUACAUAAAAUCCAGAUGCAAAAAUACAUGCAAAUCUUAGAAGGUAAAACUACAAUAACGUGUAAAGUGCAUUUUCGAAAAGGCGCACCCAUGCAUAGAAAAUUGUUAGUUUGUGUGACAUUUGUUACGAGGAAGAAAAAAUAUUCAGAGAAUGAAAAUAAGUAUUGAUAUUAUUGAAUAUUAUUGUUAUUGUAUUGUGUUACAAAAUUGAAUUACAAAAUAUCUAUUUAUAUAUGAUUAAGUGACUUGACUACUAAGUAACAAAUAUAACAAACCCUAAACCUUAAUUAAUUUUGACUUGAGCCACACACAACUUGGAUUAUAUUACUUAUAUCUCAACACACCACAUAUAAUUCGAGUUGUCGAACAAACACUAAUUAUAGUCGAUCUAAAUUAUUCCCAAUUUCUUUCUCAAAUUUAGGAAUAUGUCGAUCUUCAAUCCUUUGGUGAAAAUAUCGACUAACUCUGCUUCACUUGAGCAAUGUCUCACUUCAUGUUCACCCUGGUUAACCUUCUCCCUUAGGAAAUGAAACUUAGCCUUAAUGUGAUUACUUCUCCCAUGCAAAAUUGGAUUCUUCGAAAUAUUUACGACUUACUCAUUGUCGAUCUGCAACACCAGAGGUUUCUUCACUUCGAUCUCAAUCUCUUCCAGCACAUAUAUAAUCCAUAUUGUUUGACACACGUCAUAAGAUCCCGAUAUAUAUUUAGUCUCACACGAUGACAAUGCCAACAUAGGUUGCUUUCUCGACCACCAUGAGAUUGGGGCACCAAAUACUUGAAACAAAUAACCACUUGUGCUUCUUCGAUCUUCCUUAUCUCCACACCAAUUAGCAUCUGAAUAGCAAGUAUCUGUACAUGUAGCGGGGUAUUCGUUACCAUUAGAGAUAUUGACUAAAUCCAAGGUAAAUCAUACAAGUCGAGUCGCCACCGCACUUCUAUUUAUCCAAGGGAAUGGUUAGAAAGCGAACAAAAACCUAAUAGUUUUAUCNNNNNNNNNNNNNNNNNNNNNNNNNNNNNNNNNNNNNNNNNNNNNNNNNNNNNNNNNNNNNNNNNNNNNNNNNNNNNNNNNNNNNNNNNNNNNNNNNNNNNNNNNNNNNNNNNNNNNNNNNNNNNNNNNNNNNNNNNNNNNNNNNNNNNNNNNNNNNNNNNNNNNNNNNNNNNNNNNNNNNNNNNNNNNNNNNNNNNNNNNNNNNNNNNNNNNNNNNNNNNNNNNNNNNNNNNNNNNNNNNNNNNNNNNNNNNNNNNNNNNNNNNNNNNNNNNNNNNNNNNNNNNNNNNNNNNNNNNNNNNNNNNNNNNNNNNNNNNNNNNNNNNNNNNNNNNNNNNNNNNNNNNNNNNNNNNNNNNNNNNNNNNNNNNNNNNNNNNNNNNNNNNNNNNNNNNNNNNNNNNNNNNNNNNNNNNNNNNNNNNNNNNNNNNNNNNNNNNNNNNNNNNNNNNNNNNNNNNNNNNNNNNNNNNNNNNNNNNNNNNNNNNNNNNNNNNNNNNNNNNNNNNNNNNNNNNNNNNNNNNNNNNNNNNNNNNNNNNNNNNNNNNNNNNNNNNNNNNNNNNNNNNNNNNNNNNNNNNNNNNNNNNNNNNNNNNNNNNNNNNNNNNNNNNNNNNNNNNNNNNNNNNNNNNNNNNNNNNNNNNNNNNNNNNNNNNNNNNNNNNNNNNNNNNNNNNNNNNNNNNNNNNNNNNNNNNNNNNNNNNNNNNNNNNNNNNNNNNNNNNNNNNNNNNNNNNNNNNNNNNNNNNNNNNNNNNNNNNNNNNNNNNNNNNNNNNNNNNNNNNNNNNNNNNNNNNNNNNNNNNNNNNNNNNNNNNNNNNNNNNNNNNNNNNNNNNNNNNNNNNNNNNNNNNNNNNNNNNNNNNNNNNNNNNNNNNNNNNNNNNNNNNNNNNNNNNNNNNNNNNNNNNNNNNNNNNNNNNNNNNNNNNNNNNNNNNNNNNNNNNNNNNNNNNNNNNNNNNNNNNNNNNNNNNNNNNNNNNNNNNNNNNNNNNNNNNNNNNNNNNNNNNNNNNNNNNNNNNNNNNNNNNNNNNNNNNNNNNNNNNNNNNNNNNNNNNNNNNNNNNNNNNNNNNNNNNNNNNNNNNNNNNNNNNNNNNNNNNNNNNNNNNNNNNNNNCAAAAGCCUUAAGGUCUUUUGUUAUCAAAGGGAGAAAACUCAACCUAAAACCACAAAUCCACCAUGUGAGGAUAGCUUCAACAUGCUAGUGAGGGGUUAACCCUAUAAUAAGCAUGGAAGACUCAUUGUCCAUCACUAAGGAUAUAGGUGAGUAUCACAUCUACCACAAGGAUAACUCAAACCUAAUAGCUAAAGGUUAUAAAAAAAAUUGAUUAAGGAGAUGGCCGUUGGAACCGCAAAAGACAUUUGAGUGGGUUAUAUUUACCAAUUAGAAGUAUAUACAAAAAUGGUCAAAGUUGACUUAAAAGUUCAAUUCAAAAUAAGUGUUAUGAAAAGAAAGUUUGAAAAUCAAAAGCAUAAGGCUUAGGUUUCUAAUGUUGAAAACAAUAGUUAAAUGUUUGCACAAAAGGUUUUGGCUUGGGUUAGAGUGGAGAGAAGAAGAAGAAGGGGCUAAGUCCUAAGUAAAAAAAAAGGAGGGAUGAAGAAUCAAAACCACAAUGGAGUCCCUCUCUUGAGAUCAUACUGAUGAUCCAAGUAGCUCCCAUCCUUUGGAAUAAGCAAGCACAAAGCAUAAGCAAUCAAACAAGUCUCAUAAGAGAUCCUCAAGGUGUCUUGUAUGUUCCACUUGGAUGAACAUGGCAAUGGUCUUUCAAUUGAGCUCAUAGCAACCCUAGCACAAAAGCACGCACAUCAAAAGUUCCAAUGAAGUAAAACAAGAAUGGACAAGAGUGAGUUUAGAGAUUUGGUCCUUCUAAUCCAUCUUCAUCAUUAAGAUUCUUUUACUCCAAUUUUGCUUAAGGAAGGUCCUAGAAUCUAAGUCAAAUUCUCCAUUUCUUUGCAUAGGGGAAGUCCUAGAAACUAAGUCCAUUUCUUUGCAUUUGGUCCACAACAAUCAAAACAAAAACACAAGCACAAUAAUAUAUACACAAUUAUGUGCUCAAGUGAACAAAAGGCAAAUGGCAUUAACAUAAACAUGUGCUCAAGUGAGCAAAGAGAAAAGCAAAUGGAUAAUAUGUGCAAGAAUAGUAAAUUGAACAUAAAUUAUCAUAAAUUUGCAUUUAUAUAAAAGUUAAAUUGUCACAAUAGAUUAAAUGUAACUGUAGUUAGGUGUGCCAUAAGGCUUCAAAUUUAGCGCUUAUCCUGUUAUAGAACAACAAUACGUUAAUUGACAUUAUGAUGAGGAAAAGGCUAUCAGACUAUCUGGACGCCGGUCAAUAAUAAUAUAGUGCAACAAAACACAAGUUAGGAGUCUUGAUUAGCCUAACCCAAGUCCCAACCAACUUGUCCAUGUCCAAAAAUGAAGAAGAGAAUAUAUGAUCUUCGUAUGGCGUUUAUUAUGCCUUUUGCAUGUUUAGAAAGACAUACCUAUCCCCUAAAAAUGUCUCUAUAUAGAAUCAUUCAACUACAUCUAAAGACUAAUAUAAAUGAAUCAAGUAUGAAUUCGUUCAUAUGAACAAUCAAAAAAGAAUAAAUGAAAUUAUCUCUGCCAACCACAUGCUUAACCUUUAAUAACAAACCAUAAAUCAAGCUCCAAUUGAUUCAUACACGGGAGAAGAAUCAGUAGAGAAGCCAAAAAGAUGAAGAAAAGAGUGGAUAGAGAAGAGAAAUUAAAAUGCGGCAAAAAUUAAAGUGCAUUAAUGAAAUAAUCAAUGUACCAAUCCUCAAUGUUGACCAAUAACAUUGAAAGUCAAGGUCAAACAAUCAAAACAGAAGUGAGAUGAAGAUUGGGAAUCAAGAAAUGAAAAAAUUUAUUUUUGGCAUAUUUUAAUAUUUAAAAUAAACUUGAAUUAAAAUAAAAAGAAAAAGGUCAAACUUCAAAAUUACUUCAAUCAACUUGGAAGGUCCAAGUAAUUUAUUCCCAAGCUCAGACAAGGUCAAACAACAUUUGAUCUAAAAAAAAUUUCAAGCAUUUUUAAAGAUCAGGAACUAUUUUAAUCAAUUAAAAAUGAAUAAAAAAACCAAUAAUUGAAACUAAAUCUCAAAUAAAAUCUCAAUCAAUUCAAAAAUUGAUGGAGAAUAUUUUUCAUAGAUCCAUCAUCAUUCAAAUAGGUUAGGAAAAUAUUUUUUGUAUUUUUAAUGAAUAUCAAAAACUAUUUAAAAGAGAAUUAAAAAUAACCAGAAAAGAGAAAUUCAUAAAAAAUAUCAAAUGACAAAAUAAAAAUAUUAAAAUCAGAAAUAGAAACUAGAAUUUAUUUGGGAAAAUAAUGCAUUGGUCCCAUAAUUUUUGGAUAAAAAAUGAAAGAGAUAUUGAUUUUUGAAAAUAAAUUGGAAUUAAAGAAAUAAAAAACAGAAAUUAAAAAAAAUGCAAAAACAUGGAGCGUUAGAUCUGAGCUCAUUAAUUGAGCUGGCAGAUCACACGCUCCUAAGAUGCGCGCCCAUUGUGGUCUCUGGUCAAGCAAAGCACAUGGCAGAAAAAAUAAAAGUCAUAACAUGGAACGGUCCAGAUUAGAUCUGGAAACAAGAUCGUGUGGCCAGGAUUCAAACUGGAAAUGAUGAAGCCACCGGAGCCACCGUCUUCUCCGGUGAGCUUGGAUUUUCCGGCCAAAUUGCAAAAAUUCAAACCUUAAUGAAAAUGCACGAUCUAUACAUCUUUAGAAAGUUGGGAUGAUGUACAUCAUCCCUGUACCAUCCAUUUCCCCUCUAGAUCUCCGUAGUGUGAGAAAUCAGAGAUGGAAAAAUAUGGUGUUCAUCAUGAACUUAAUGGAUUUCAAAAAUUGAAGGCAUAAACAUGAUGCCUCUAUUGAGAGGACUUCGGCCAACACAAAAUCUAAGCCAAAAGGUCAAUGGAUUAGGAGAAUCGAAGAAAAUACCAAUUGGAAUGUGAGCUUGAGUUCUGGUAAUUUGAGCACUAUGCCUCGCUUGCUUUGCUAAAACAGAAGUUCAAUGAGAUAAAUGAUGAAGGUUUAGAAGCACUAGAUCUGAGAAUUCAACCAGAUGAAGUUGAAUUUCAGAUCUGAAAAAAUUGAGAAAAAUGAGCUUGCUCUUUAGUGAUGGCUAUGAAAGAAUUCUGCAGCAUUUCAGGUUGAAUUAGGCGUGUGAAUGAAUGGAAUGAGGUCUUCAUUUAUAGAGGAAGUGGCAAGGAGAGUGUGAAAUGAUCCGUGUGCAUGGCAUGUGAAGCUUCAUUGCAGGGCUUGCAUGAUCAUGCCCAGGCCCAAAAAUAAUGCAAAUGAACUCUGAGCAUCAGCACAAUGGAACUUGGAUCGCUGUGACUUUGCAAGGCAAUAGCUUAUGCACCAAGAUUUCAAGUGAAUUCCUCAUUUGUACCUAAACAAACAUCUCUUCGAAAAUACCAUUUAGAAAAUCCAAACAUAGGCAUAUGGAUAAUGGUUGGAAAGGUCUUUGUACGAGGAACAAAUGUUAGGUUGGACAAAAACUAAUUUUAAGUGUGGAAAUUUAUGAAAUUUGAGUUUAAGGUGUAAGGUGCAUGACAUGUCAAGGCAAGGUUUCUAAAAUUGGCCAACUUUCAAGCCCUUCUGUUUUGAUGAUGCAAGCCUCAAAUGGAAAACCUCCAAUAUGAAAGUUGUAGAUAUUUUCAAGACAAUCAAAAUGGACUCAAAUUUUGCAUCAUUUGGAUUUUUGAUGAAAGAGUUAUGGGCACUUGAAGUUGGACUUUUUGACUUUUAAUGCAUUUAGUCAAAAAGGACCUAUAAUGUCUUGCAUUAUCACAUGUAUUUCCUAUGAGAUUUUGAAAUUUUGUUCAACAUAACAUUUGAAGUAGAUAUCUUAAUAUUUCCAAUACAUUUGAUCCCACCUCAAAAUCAUAAAAAAUGAAUGAGUUAUGUCCUUGGGAAGUUGACCCACAAUUAGGGUUUCAGUCAAAAUGACCUAUAAUGUAUUGGAAUAGAAGAUGGCCUUCCAAGCUUCAAAUCAAUUUUUGAUGAACAUGAAAGUUGUUCGUAUUGUCCUUAAGAACAUUUUUGCUUUUGGAACCAUCUCCAUUUGACCAACACAUAAAACGUUAGGUCUCAGUGCAUUUCAAAAUAGUUAGAUGAAUUGACUGAUCAACUUCUCAAGUCCACAACCCAUAUCUUGAUGAAUUGAUGAUUGAGGACACUCAAAUAAGUUCAAAUAUGCAUGAAAUUAAGAGUUUGUGCAUUUCAAAAUAGUUAGAUGAAUUGACUGAUCAACUUCUCAAGUCCACAACCCAUAUCUUGAUGAAUUGAUGAUUGAGGACACUCAAAUAAGUUCAAAUAUGCAUGAAAUUAAGAGUUAAAGAAAUUCCCUUGAUUAUAUUUGACCAUGGGCUGAGGUUGCUUCAUGAGCAAGGCAUUGUGAUGCACAGAGGAAUUAGGGUUUCUCCGAAGAACAAGAUCUCAAACCCUUUGACUUGCUUGAUAAAAAAUGAUGCAUUGAGGUACUAGGGAGGCAUACUUGAUGAAUGAGAGCUUUGGGAACCAUUACCAUGCUUGCUUUCAUCUCCUCUUGACCAUGUCUUUGUACCAAUGAUCUCCUGGAAGCUUUGGACUUUGUGAUUGCUCAAGCUACAAACAAAAGAUGUUAGUGACAUAUUUUUGUGCUUUUGGUUAGUAAACAAAAUGAGAAAAUCAAUGAUAUACAAUUCAAGCAUGCUUGGUGAUCUCAAACCAACUCACAGAAGGUCCCACCCAAAGGCAAAGGGAACCAAGAUGCUAAUGAUCCUUGAGGCUAUGCAAAUGAAAUAUUAUGAUGCCAUGAGGGAUCUUAGGGACAAAAUUGGGGUCUUACAGUACCUUCUUUGCUUUUAGAGCCUCGUCAAAAUAGAAUAGUUUAUCGAUCCUUUUAAGUAUCUCAGGAUUCUCCUUGUAGCCUUCAUGCGUGACACCCAUGGUUCACUCAUGUAUCUGCUAACUAAUCUGGUCAAGAAACCUAUAUCAGGUCGACUAUUGCACACAUCUCUCAGAGGUUCGAUAAUUUGUUUGAACAAAGUUGCAUCGACUUUAUCUUUCUCUCCAUGCUUCUCCAACUUAAAAUUUGGUUCGGCAUGAGAAGAUGCAUGAAUCGAAUCAUCCAUCAUGAAUCUCUUGAGUAUCUUUUUGACAUACUUUCUUUGAUGUAGUAUCAUACCUUGCUUCGACAUUUUAAAUUUUAUGCAUAGAAAAUAAGACAAGUUUCCCAUAUUCGACAUUUAAAAUUCCCUCAUCAUCAGCUCGUUGAACUUCGACAAGUUCUUCACGCUAUUUCCAAUUACUAGGAAGUCAUCGACAUAUAAGCAGAUGAUUGUCAUAUCUUGUGCCACAACCUGAACAUAGAUCCCAUACUUAGAUUUGCAUUUGACAAAUCCCAAUUUGACUAAGUAUGAGUCGAUCUUCUUGUUCCAUACCAUAAGUGCCUGCUUGAGGCCAUAGAGCACUUUGUGCAACUUAUACACUUUCCUUGCUUCCUCCUAUAUCACAAACCUAGGAGGUUGUGUGACAUAGACUUCUUCGUCCAAGGGACCAUUCAAAAAUGUUGAUUUCAUAUCUAAGUGAAAUGUUGACCAUCCUUGAUUACAUGUCAAGGCGACUACUAGCCGAACAGUCUUCAAUCUUUCUAUUGGUGCGUAUACUUUGGAGUAGUCAACUCCUGCUCUCUAAAGAAAACCUCGAGCUACCAAUCUUUCCUUAUGUCUUGCUAUCCACCCAUCAGUAUUGUGCUUCGACUUGAACACCCAUUUCACUUUGAUAGUUUUUCUAUAUGCUGGAAAUUUGACUAACUCCCAUGUGUUAUUUAUUUCGAUUGCUUGUAACUUUUCAACCAUAGCUGACUUCCACUAUUUAUAGUUUAAGGCUUUGCUAUAGUUGAUUGGUUCAUCACUUGCAAGUAAAGCAAAAUGAACUAAUUCUCCAUCUAGUGUAACUUCAUCAUCAUAAGUCACUUUGUAGUCUUGAAGUCUUGUUGGAAGAACUCUAGUUCUUUGAGGUCUCUGGCUUGUGCUAGCCAUACCCUCUUUGAAUUCGACUGUGUCGGGAAUGUCAGCAAUUUCUUUGAAUGGAAUAUCGACAAUAUCUUCGACUUCGACAUUAUUACUUGCUACGUCGAAUUCAUAGCUCUUUAAUGGCUUGUCAAUUGCAUCACUAUAAUUCCAAUUCCAAACAAAAUUUUCAUCAAUCACAAUAUCUCGACUCAUCAUGAUCUUUUGAUUAAUUGGAUUGAACAACCUGUAUGCACCAGUUUUGUGAUAUCCUACCAGAAUCAUAGGUUCAUUUUGUCAUCAAGUUUCCUUCUUCUUGCAUCAGGAACGUGUUUGUAACAAAUAGAGUCAAACACCUUCAGAUGACUCACAGAUGGUCAUUUUCCACUUCACACUUCUCCAUGAACCUUGUUCUUCAUCUUCUUGAUAGGGCACCUGUUCAGAAUAUAAACAGCAGUGGAAACAGUUUCACCCCAUAAGGAUUUUGGAAAAUUCUUUUGCUUCAGCAUGCAUCUCGCCAUGUCCAAUAUGUUGAGGCGUGUAAGGAGCAGUUACCUCAUGAAUGACACCAUGUUCUGUAUAAAACUCUUCAAACAUCUUAGAUGUGUAUUCGCCACCUCCAUCUGUUCGCAGAACUUUGAUCUUCUUCUCACUCUGGUUUUCGACAAGCAUCUUGAAUCUCUUAAAGAUUUCGAAUACUUUGUCCUUUCACUUGAUCGCAUAAAUCCACAACUUUAGACUAAACUCAUCGACAAACGAAACAAAAUACAUGUUUCCACCAAUGGUAUGCUCCUUAAAAGGGCCACAUACAUAUGAAUGUACAACUUCAAGUAUGCAGGAAGAUCUCAUUGGCAUAGUCGAAAUGAAUGACGUUCUGGAUUGCUUUCCGACUAAGAAACCUUCUUAGAGUUUGUCGGACAUCUCAAGACUUGGUAUACCAAUUACCAUAUCUUUAGUAAUCAAUUAAUUAAGUGAUCGAAAGUUCAAAUGUAAAAACCUCAAAUGUUACAGCCAACUAUGCUUGUGGUUGACAACGACUUUUAGACAUUGUACUGUAGUCGAACUGAUCAUGGUCUUGAGUGUCCUAUUCUUCUACAAAUGAGAUUUUAAGACCAAAUCAUUAUGAAUGUCGAACAGUUCCAAGGCUCCAUCUUUCAUGUUCACUAAGAACACUUUUUCGACCAGUUGUCCAACACUUAGCAGAUUUCACUUUAUUCCAGGUACAUAGAAUACUUCUUUGAUCAUAGAUUUUCCUUCAUUUCUCCUUUGAAUAACUAUGUCGCUAGUACCUUCUGCUUGCAACGAGCUAUUAUCAGCAAGUUUGACCUUGCUCUUCUUCGACGAUUCAAAAUUUGCUAACCAUAUUUUUCGACCAUUCAUGUGAUUCGAGCAGCCCGAGUCGAGGAACCAGAUCUUGAAGUCAACAUGGUCAUCUGCAACUGCAACCAUAAUCACAGUAUCUUCAGAAUCAUCUUAAUCUUAGCGUGCAAGGUUUUUUUCUUCCUUCUUGCCUUUUGUCGCUCCCUUGUCUUUAUUGUAGCAAUAAUUCUUGGCCAAGUGACCCCAUUUUUCACAGUUAUAGCAUUAUACACUUUUUUUCUUUUUUUCUUUCUGAUAAGAGUUUCCUUCUCCUUUUUUCGAGGAUUCAUAAGCCUUAUCAUCGACCUUAUGCUUUUGAGGGUUCGACCAAGAAUUCUUGCUCUGAGUCUUGCCUCAUUUGCCUUUGAAUUUGUUGGAGUCACCAUGCUUCUUCCAUGCCUGAGCCUGCAAUGCUUGUAUCGAAUCCUAAACCAAUUUCCUUUCGACAGUCCUAAUCUCAUGCGCCUCCAACAAACCAACCAAAUCUUCCAGUUUCAUGGUUUCAAGAUUGUUGGAUUCUUGAAUAGCUACGAUAACUUGAUCAAAGUGAGAGGUCAACAUACGCAUUACCUUCUCAACUAUCAUCUUAUCCGUUAGGGUUUCACUACCAUCCUUCAUGAGAUGGACGAGAUAUUGUACGUUCGAUACAUAGCCUGCAAUCUUUUCAUCUUUUCCCAUCUGCAACAAGUCAUAUUGUCGUCGCAAAGUCCAUAAUUUUACGAUUUUAACUUUCUCACCUCCUUCAUAGUACUUGACAAGAAUAUCAUAUGCCUCCUUCGCCGAUUCAUCAUGAGAGAUCUUGUCGAAAUUCACUGAAUUUACCGUCGAUUGAAUGCAGUAUGCAGCCUUGCAAUAUUUCUUCUUCACCUCCUUGUUCACGAAUCUCUGAGCAUCGGUUGUAUUCUCAACAACCUCAACGACGCCAUUAGUAACCACUUCUAGGGUUUCAUGAAAGUUAAACAGAGAUUGCAUAUGUUUUCUCCAUCGGAUCCAAUUCAUACCGCCAAUAAUUGGAAGAGAAUUUUAAAUGCCAUUAGUAUCAUUCAUCUUUACCGCGAUAAUAUUCACAUAAAUUUAAUAAUAACAAAGAUACACAUGUAUCAAAUAUCAACCGAUGAAAAUUUAAGACAUUUUACAUUUAGAGACAUAUUAAGACACUUUGUCAUAUUAAUAGUUAACUUAUAAUAGCAUUUACUGGAAUAUUCACUUCAUCAACCGUCACAUAACGAGCCACAUAAACAGUUCACCUCAAGUAUCUAAUUAUGAUACUUAUGUCCAAUAUGAUGCAUGAAAACACAAAAUUAUGUAGACUUUGACUUCCACGUAUUUUUGUAUACUUUUCAAAACCACUUUGAUCCUUAACAUGAUAUAAAAUAAUAUGAUAUGGAUCACAUAUGUUUAUGGGACACUUAUUCCCGCACUCGAUAAUAUCUACUCAUGGAACACUUUGUGGGAAACUCAACAUGAGGUCCCUUAGGUUAAAUACCAAAAUACAAGAGUUUUCUGAUAACUCCUAACAAUCGAGGUGCUCCCUCAAUUCACCUAAUAAUCCUAUUUGCUUAUCUCUCGUGACCUAACAAGUAUAUUUCCACUAACCAGGUCAGAUAUAGUUGUGCCCUCUCUGUCAUUAGGUUCAUCACACUCUAUCUAUUAUUGUUGUUUAAAAACAUCGCUUGGAUGUAAAGAAAUGGGAGGAAAUGGAUUAUGAAUAAAAUGGAGGAUGGAGGUAGAGUAUGAGUAAGUGUAAAGCAAACCUCGGUAGGGAGCUCUUAAAGUUUAUAUUUAUACUCUUCCUCUUAUCUUAUACAAAUCCAAUCUUAUUAAAAAAAAAGAGAAAUGUUAGGAUAACACAAAAAUUUACAACAACAUUGUAUGUAUAUCGGUGAGUUGUACUUUGUUUUUUUUAACAAUUCUUGUCUUGUCUUGGGUUUUGUGUCAUGAUUAAAAUGUUUUGAAAAUGUUACCGUGUAGAUACGGUGUAGUGGUUAUUCGGUGUCAACAUAGCACACCUUUAAAAAAAAUUAAAGAAAAAUAAUCCAAAGAAUAAAAAAUAUUAUUUUUCCGUGCAAUGAACACAUGUUUGACAUCCAAGGUUGGAAAUGAAUCGAGUCGAGUUGAAUUCACAUUAACUCAGUUUGACUCGUUAAAAUUUGGUUCAGUUUAAAUCUCUACUUGAAUUUGACACAAACUUUUUUUAAACUCAAAUUCGACUCGUUAUAAGUUCACGAACAAAUAGAUUUAAUUCGUUAGAUUCAGCUCACUUGCUUCACGGAUUUAAAAUCCAUUUUUUAAGUCUAUUUUUUUAUAUAUAUUUGAUAUUUGAAAUUAAUAUUUUUUUUUUAAAAAAAAAUAUUGAAAUAAAAUAAAAGUUAAUAGAUUGAAAUUUAACUUUGUCUCAAAAAUUUACUAAUUCAAAAACUACACAUCUUUCAAGAAAUACAUUUGAAAAUCUAAUUCAAAAACUACGCAAUUGGAGUUUAAAUUUGUUUCAAACAAAAUUAAUGAAAUCGUACACCAAAAUUUACUAUAAAUUGAUACGAAAUGGACAAUAUAGGGUUAAUAUUUGGAGUGGAUCUUUAAAAUCACUCUUAAAGACAAUAUAAUCUUUCUCAUAUAUAAUUGAGUUGACUCAAGAACCUAACGAGACGAACUAUGUAUAGUUCAAGAUCAUCUCAUUUAGUUAACGAACUUAAUUUUCCAUUCAUAUUUAGCUCAUUUGGUUCAUGAACCUAGACCAACGAUUUAAUUUUCAACCCAAUUUCCAAAGUAUUUUCAAUUUAGUUCAGUUCAUUAUAAGUGAACCACGUACUUUUUACUUUUAUACAAGUGCCUUAAUCAUUUGUAAGUGCCAUUUUAUUAACGUUAUUGUGCUUAGUUAUUCUCCUCUUGUACUAAGAGUAAUUGUCCAAAUGUCACAGCAACCUAGAUCGUUGAAUUAUGUUGUAAAUAAUUUAACUUGAUUGUUGUUACAAAACCUCAUGUCACUUCAUUAAUUUAAUCUUAUUAUUUACUUUAAAACAUAAAUGACAUAAAGUAUAAAGUGCGGGGAAGGUAAAUGAGUUAUUUCUCCAGACGCCUCACCUCUUUAAAUAGGGAGAGUCGUGGAUCCUAAUUCAUUGGUGCGUACUUUCACAACAUCCUCAUUUCUUUCAGCGCCCUUACAGUCACCCAUCCUUCUUGAGUACUCCUCAUUUCACAAUUCAUCUUGGAUUGUAGUUACUGGAGAGCUUAGGAAUGUUUCUCCCUCUGAGUUUUUCCCACUAAAAGGCAACACAAGAGUUAGACCUCUAGUGGGGUGGACAAACUGGUAGGAGACAUGGCAAGGAGCAACUGAUAAUAAUCAUUAAAGUUCUCCGAGAGGGGGAGGUGGAGAUCAAAGAACUACACCGCGUCAAAGGUAGGUUUUUCUACAAAUAAGGCCUGAUGGGGGCAAAUCUGUCACAUGUUUUCUUUCCUCCUCUAUCUAGAAACUUCUUGGUGGUCAAUGAGAACCCUUUUCCCAUCAGGGAAUCUUGGGGGCGGGCCUCACCAGCCCAAGAUAUCUCGUACUGCCUUUUCCCUUCGUCAACAGUCGUAUCUUGGGGGAGGGGCAAGGACAAGCCAGCUCGCUGCUGUGUAACAUGCAUCAUAAUCAAACAUUGUCUCCUCUUGCCAAGCAAGAUAUUAGUCAUGCCAUCUGCAAAAGAAAAGAGGGCUCGUAUUAAAACGAAAAACAAUCUAUUGACAAUCAGGAUAUGAAGUUCCUAUCAUACCAUAAAACUUUCCCAAAUACUCCUCCACUUCAUUGCCAUCCUCGUGAUCCUGGGUAGUUAAAGUACAUGAGUUCAAGGGUCGGAAACCGCCCAAGAUCUGGACCAUUUAUUUCUCAAUGAAAGAAAGGAUACUUGCAUUUAACCCAUUGAUAAGUUGGGGAUCGUACGUCCACAACAAAGGAAAGUGAGGGGCACUCGUCGCUCCGGUCGUCAUCAGGGAGGCGUCGCCUCACCCCCUCACCCACAAGAACAUAUCUUUUCAAUCCUCGUGAGGAAUCACAUAAGGUUAUAGCAUACGUCUAUCUGGAAGAUCACACAGAGUUAUCCACACAUAGUUAGGGAUAACCUUUACAUUGUAAAAAGAGAGGACUACCAAAAAAAGUGGGAGGGCCCCCCAAUUUAAUGUAGAUUAUAUAAAAAAUCCCUUAGCAUGCCUCAUAUGUUAGGGGUAAUUUGGGCAGGGGCGGUGUUAAUUAUCAUAAAAAAAAUCAGCUUCGAAGAUAGUAAAGAGGAUCAAAACCCCUAACUCAUGUAUAACAGGCACGUAAGAAUAGAAGUAGGGAACAGAGGCCUCGUCGACGGUGACCAUGUUGGCUCUCUCUGUUCCUGAACAAGGUUCAAGAACCAUGUGUCAUACCCUAAAUUUUGUCCACGUGUCUUCUAUUUUAUUUUUAGAAUAUCAAAGAGAAUUAAAAUUGUGAGUUAGCUCAGUCGGUAGUGGGGCAGAGACUUGACGCGUAAGGUUGCGGGUUUGAAUCAUAUUGCAUCUCUUUUUAUUUGUUAUUUUUACUAAAAGUAAAUAAAAUUCCAAUGUUGACCUUUUCUAGUUUAUUUAUAUUUAUUAUCGUUUUUUUUAUUUAGGUAACUUUUUAAUAUUAUUUUUUUAUUUUAGUUAUUUUUAAACCAUAAAUAAAAAAUCCCAAAAAUAUUAUAUUUAAUUAUUAUGUUUUAAUUAUAUUUAUCACUAAUUAUGGUUUUUCAUUUCUGAUUACAUCCUAAUUUUAAUUUGUAAGUAUAAAUAAGAAAUGCUUAGAGAAGCAUAACGGAGGCGCAGAGCUAACCGUAGCACAAAUUUGUUUUGACAUUUUUUCAUCUUACCACCAUCUUCACCACACUUGAUUGGUUCAUCAAUCGCAUUCAUACAAAAGUCUUCUACAUCUUCCUUACAUCAUCACCAUUAUAAUAAACAAGUUUUCCUUCAUCAUCAACCAUUAUCACAAAUAUUUCCUCCUUCAUGCACCAAACACAACAGAGUCACCAUUGAAUUUAUUUAUUCUAAGAGAAAGGGAAAAUAUCAAUAAAACCCAAAGGUAAUAGAAAAGGACAAGGAAGUCGGUUAUGUAAGGGGAAGAUAUUAACAUUUCUCGCAUUCGUUGUACUCAACGGGAAUCGUUUUGGUUGUUCUUUGCCAAGAUGGAUGUUAUUAUCUAAAGGUUACUUUCAAUUGGUUUUAAUUAAGGGAAAACUAAGUUUUUAAUUAAUGUGCUUGCCAAGAUUUCCAAAUCUUGUGUCUACGUAUUCCCAUAGUGCAAUGAGAAAAUCAGAGCUUCGUAGUUCGUGGAAUAUAACAUGAGUAUUUGUUGGUUGAUUUUAGGGAACAAUCACUACGCCAAAUAAGGGAAAAGAGGGCGCUUUUUUUGGCCUAUAACAGCGCUUUAAAGCGUCCUCUAAUCUGGCGCUGGCAUAGGUAAAGACAGCGUUUUUUUUCCUGGUGAAAACGCUCUCUAAAGUGGCUCUUUAAGCCCUUUAAGGGCCACUUUAGAGGGCGCUUUUUAAAGAAAGCGCCCUCUAAGUGGAAACUUUAAGGGUUUUAGAGGGCGCUUUUACUGGAAAGCGCCUCUAAAGUGGAACUUUUUAAGGGUUUUAGAUGGCGCUUUUACUGGAAAGCCGCCUCUAAAGUGGAAAUUUAAAGGUUUAGAGGGCGCUUAUUUUGGAAAGCCGCCCUCUAAAGUGGGUGGGUUAUUUAAAUUUUUUUUUUUAAAAAGCGCUAUAUUUUUUAUUUAUUUUAGACAACCUGUAUAUUGAAGCAGUAAACACUAAAACUGUAUAAUUUGAAGCCCUUUUUUCACACAUUGCAUUCAACAAGCCUUAUAUACAACAAUCCAUACAUAUACAACAAUCCACUGAUAUAUAAUCGUUUAACUUCUAAAGAUUCUAAUAUACAACUAAUUCAUAACUUAAAAAAGAAAUAAAACUAAGUAGCAAAAGCAUCUCUGAGAUGUAUGUUUUUUUUUGCUAGCCGCAGUCUUCUUAGCAACAACCUCUUUUUGUUCAAUAUCAUAGCAUGAACCUAAUAUCAUAAAAUUAGUUAGUGAAGUAUAAGAUCAAGAAUUAAACAUUUUUAUGCAUAAUAUAGCAUAUAAUUGUGUUUAUACCUUUUUUUUUAUGCAACUGAUCGAUUUGCUGUAAUAAAAGCCAUUUUACCUGUAAUAAAGAAAACAAUUAAAAUCAUUUGACCUGUACUUUUUCACUAAGUUCUCUUUCUUUUCUUUGUUGUUGGAUAUGUUCUACAUGUCUCUUAACAACACAGACGGUUGGAUUGAUCCAAAACCCUAAUUAUGAUCAUUUCUAAUAUAUGAAUCAUUUGAUAUAAUAUUCUCAUCUUGAUCAUUUCUGGUAAACGAUUCAAUCUCAAUAUCAAUAUCACCUUGAUCUCCAGUGUUUUUUUCAUCAUUUACUUUGUUGGAAAAAAGAACUAUAGACCAUUUCGUACUUUUCGGAUCAUUGACAUAGAACACUUGUCUAGCUUGAGAGGCUAGAAAUAAAAGACUCAUCUUUGUAUCCCACCCUAUUAAGAUCCACUUGCAAAAAUCCUGACUUAUAGGAAUCUGAAACUUCUCAUAAUCAAACACCCAAAUGCGCUCGAUAACACCAAAAUACGACAGAUUUGCAAUUUUGGGUUUAAGUCCUUCACACUUGAAUAUGUGCAUUGCUUCAGCUACCACGGUGACACCACUAUUCUGCAUAGUACUUUUAUCAUCUUGUUCUUUGUAUAAAAUGUGUAUCCAUUAAUAGCGUAUGCGCUAUAAGAAAAACAUGGAAACUUGGACCAUAUGCUAAGCAUCUCAACCUUUCUGUUAUUGAGCGGGAUUCUGAAUAAUACUUUGAAUAAAUAUGAUCCUAAACCAAGGUAUAAAAACUCGAUGUGCUCUCGUACUAUCAAUUUUCAUUUCUAUUGGAUUUAAACCUCGGAGAACAUCCUUGUGAAUUUCAACAUACGGCUCAACCUCAUUCUCAUUGUGCAGAACAUACAAAUGCACUUGAUCCCGUUCGACCUUGAUACUGCCACGAUUUUAUUCAAUUAGAUUUUUUCCUUCUUUCUUUUCGACAAGCUGAGACUUGGGGGAGUCCGAUUGAUUGAACAUUAGACAAAUAUUCAGUACAAACUCAUCGCUUCUUCAACAAUGUAUCUUUCAACCAUACAACCUUCUGGUCGACUUGUUCUUCACGUACCCUUUUAAUUUUCAUAUAACGUUCAACAGGGUACAUCCAUCUCAUAUAAGCUGGUCCCACCAAUUGUGUCCUCUUCACAAGAUGAACAACUAGAUGUACCAUUAUGUCAAAAAAUAUGGAGGAAAAAACAUUUCAAGCUCACACAAGUAAUAACGAUUUCUUUUUGCAACAUUGGUAAGAUCGAGGAUCGAUCACUUACUGCAAAUUGACUUGAAGAAAGAACACAACUUAGUUAUAGAGCUUCUUACUUUUUCUGAAGAAUAGAACGUAUACCUAUUGGGAGAAAAUGUUCCAUUAUAACAUGGCAAUCAUGGUCUUUAAAUCUUUAACUUGAGGUCUUCAUAGACACAAGUCUUCUAAUAUCUGAACAGUACCCUUCUGGAACUUUAACUUCACUUAGAAACUUACACAAUGUUUUUUUCUCCUUUCUAGAUAGAGUAUAAGCAGCAGGCGGUAGAUAUGUUCGUUUUCCUUUCUUCAAGGGUCCUAAUUCAGUUCUUAUUCCCUCGCUAUCAAGUCCUUUCUUGCCUUAAGGCCAUCCUUAGACUUCCUUGUAUAUUGAGUAACGUGCCAAUAACACUUUCAAAUACAUUUUUUUUCAAAUAUGCAUAACAUCAAGAAAGUCUCACAUACAAGGACUUCCAUACGACAAUUCAAAAAAAACUGACCUCUUCUUCACCCACUUUUGACAAGUGUAUGGGCAAAAGGCUUGCCAAACUGAGUAUCCAAAUCUUUCACCUUUUCAAAAAUUUGAUCACCCGUCAAUAUAGGUGGAGCUCUGCCUUGUUCUGUCUCUCCAUUGAACGCCUUUCUCCAUCCAGGGUAGUGAUGAUUGAAUUUAAAGAUCUCCGAAGACCGAGAAGACAUUCUUCUGACCAAACUCCAAGCGCUUCCAAUCUGUUUUAUCUUCACAAUAGGACACGCACAUUGACGCUUUUAUGUUAUACCCUGAUAGAUUUCCGUAUGCUGGAAAAUCAUUAAUUGUGCAACAACAUCUCCCUCGAGUUGAAACUUCUUUCCUAUAUCCAUCAUAAACCUCCACACCGGUCUCCCACAAAAAUCUUUAAAUCUUCGAUUAAGGGCUUCAAGUACACGUCUAGUCAUUCCUGGUGUGUUUGGUCCAGAAAUCAACAUAGACAACAUCAUGUACUUACGCUUCAUACAUAGCCAUGGAGGUAGGUUAUAAAUCAUAAUAAUCACAGGCCAUGUACUGUGUGAGAUACUCUGGAUACGUGUGGGUUCAUUCCAUCAGUAAGAUAAUGCCAAGCGAAGGUUUAUUGAUUCUUCUCCAAUUCAGAUAAUCAUUAUCAAUUUUCAACCACUGUGGUGAAUCUGCCGGAUGUCGAUACUUGCCAUCUAUAUUCUUUCAUCUGCAUGCCAGGUCAAGUGUCUUGAAUCGGUUUCACUAGAAAACAUGCGUCUAAAUCUCGGAAUAACAGGAAAAACCACAAGACUUUUGCUAGAGACAACUUGUUCUUAUAUCGCGAGACACCGCAUUUAGGACACUCAUUUAACGAUGCAUACUCAUUUCGAAACAAAACGCAAUCGUUUGGACAUGCAUGUAUCUUAUCAUAGCUCAUGCCAAUAGAGCACACACAUCUUUUUGGUCUCAUAUUGUUCGAUUGGGAAGAACAUUAUCCUCAGGAAGCAUAUUUUCAAAAGGGCUAAUAACUCUGUGAAACUUUUAUCCGACCAUCCAUUGCCCGCCUUUAAGUUGUACAACUUUAAUACCGCAGACAAUCUUGUGAAUUUAGUGCAACCAUCAUACAAAGGUUUCUCUGCAUCACUUACCAACCUCUCAAACAUUCCGGGACAAUCCUUAAGAUCUCCUUCAAGUGCUUCUGCAAUCUCUUCAACUCGAUCACAAUCGUAUGUAUCUGCGCACUAUAGUUUGAGGCAUAGUCUACUAUCCCCCGAUUCAACAUUCUCGUUACUUUUCUACCAUGCAAAUUCCAACAUGUAUAACUUCGAUCAAUUCCAUGCCUCAUUAGAUGCGAUGUCAACUGAACUGCGUCAACCCGUUUCCCAUAACAACAACCCAAGCAAGGACAUAUCAUUCUACUGGGGUCUCGGCGUGCGCAACGGUAAACUUAACGAAUUCUGAUACCCAUUCUCGUACUCUCUCGCAAUCGAUUGGAAGACAUCCAUGUAUUAUCCAUUACUAAUUAGAAUAAACACAAAAACAAUUUCAAAGAGAAACAAAAAAUGGGAUGAGACAAAAACAAUUUCGUUAUUGAGUUAGUCUCUGUGCAGGGCAUUCAUGUCUCCAACAACAACCCAAAACCAAAACAAUUUGGUUUAUUGAGUUAGUUCUCAACAUUUUCAGAUAUCUCCGACUUCAAAUAGCAUGAGAAUGUAUGAACCAUGCAUUAAGCAUUAGUGGUAUGCACUAAUUUGUAGCAUAGUUAUAUAUCAUCAUAUAGUUUUUACAAAAGAUAAACAUUGACUAGAAAAUAUAUAUGUAAAUGUAUAAUGGUCUAACUGAAAGCUAACAGAAGAAUAGUCGACUCUAAUUUACUCUAUCAAAUAACAUCCAUACCUAAACUUCUUAAGUUACUAGCUACGCUAUGUAUGCUAGAAUAAAUACACUCAUAAGCUGCAUAGUGUACCUUUGAUUGGUAGAAGGUGUUUUAGAUAUUCCUGCCUCCUUUUUCUACAUCGAGAACCAAAUGGAACAGUUGGUGAAAUUUAACCCAUAAUGCGUAGUCUCCAUUGCUAGCAUUGCAACACCAGGCUCCACUGUGGCCUAAAUGAACCAAAAAUUAGCAACUUCUACAAAUUACAACAGAAUAUUAUUAGUAUAAAUUUUCAUUAUCUAUAUAUAUCAAGAAUCUUUCCUUAAUAAUAUGUUUUUUUGUGAUUGUAGCAAGUUUAUUUUAUAAGCAACUGUGUGGUUGAACUAAACUCAAUGCAGCUCCAGCAGCAUGGUUACAAGAUGCUUCAGCUAUUUGGUUUUUGUAAGUAAGUUUAGAUCUAGGCAUAACCCAGACCCUGUCACACCAUAAAAUUUUAUGAUAACAGGAACUUGAAAUUACAUCUAGGCAUAACCCAGACCCUGUCACACCAUAAAAUUUUAUGUAAUUUCAAGUUCCUGUUAUCAUAAAAUUUGGAAAACGAAUAAAUAAUUGUGUAACCCUAAAUUUUUAAAACACUACAUAACAUAAGUUAUAUGGAUACCGUAACUACUUCACACUCUUCAACAACAUCAGACCUUUCCUCAUCAACACUCUCUCUGAUAUAAAAAGCAAAAGCAAUAUGACUAUGUGAUUAGAAGAAUUAUUUGAAGGGCUAAGUUUAAAAAAAAGUGCAUAGUAUAAGUUAUAUGGAUACCGUAACCACUUCACACUCUUCAACAACAUAAAACUUUGGCUCAUCAACACUCUCUUUGAUCUAAACAACANNNNNNNNNNNNNNNNNNNNNNNNNNNNNNNNNNNNNNNNNNNNNNNNNNNNNNNNNNNNNNNNNNNNNNNNNNNNNNNNNNNNNNNNNNNNNNNNNNNNNNNNNNNNNNNNNNNNNNNNNNNNNNNNNNNNNNNNNNNNNNNNNNNNNNNNNNNNNNNNNNNNNNNNNNNNNNNNNNNNNNNNNNNNNNNNNNNNNNNNNNNNNNNNNNNNNNNNNNNNNNNNNNNNNNNNNNNNNNNNNNNNNNNNNNNNNNNNNNNNNNNNNNNNNNNNNNNNNNNNNNNNNNNNNNNNNNNNNNNNNNNNNNNNNNNNNNNNNNNNNNNNNNNNNNNNNNNNNNNNNNNNNNNNNNNNNNNNNNNNNNNNNNNNNNNNNNNNNNNNNNNNNNNNNNNNNNNNNNNNNNNNNNNNNNNNNNNNNNNNNNNNNNNNNNNNNNNNNNNNNNNNNNNNNNNNNNNNNNNNNNNNNNNNNNNNNNNNNNNNNNNNNNNNNNNNNNNNNNNNNNNNNNNNNNNNNNNNNNNNNNNNNNNNNNNNNNNNNNNNNNNNNNNNNNNNNNNNNNNNNNNNNNNNNNNNNNNNNNNNNNNNNNNNNNNNNNNNNNNNNNNNNNNNNNNNNNNNNNNNNNNNNNNNNNNNNNNNNNNNNNNNNNNNNNNNNNNNNNNNNNNNNNNNNNNNNNNNNNNNNNNNNNNNNNNNNNNNNNNNNNNNNNNNNNNNNNNNNNNNNNNNNNNNNNNNNNNNNNNNNNNNNNNNNNNNNNNNNNNNNNNNNNNNNNNNNNNNNNNNNNNNNNNNNNNNNNNNNNNNNAAACGUCGUAGAUCUAACAGAGGUGGAAGGAGAACGCCUUAGAAGUAGCGAAAAUCGUAGCAGUGAGAACCCUAACGUGAAAAAGAACGAAAAUAACAGAGAGUGAAAUAACAAAACGCGCAGUAUGUUAUAAUCUUAAUGUUUACUAAAGGGGACCUUAGAGGGCGCUUGUGGAAAAAAAGCGCCCUCUAAAGGGGGCCUAAGAGGGCGCUUAUGAAAGCGCUCUCUAAGGCUUUCCAAAAGCGCUUUAUAAACUGGAAAUGCACUUGGACUUAUAGAGCGCUUUUUUAAAAGCGCCCUCUAAGGGUAACCUUAGAGGGCGCUUUCUAAAAAGCGCCCUGUAUUGUUGUCCCUCUAUCUCCUCCUUAUUUUUUCGCUUCACCUUAGAGGGCUCUUUAUUACAAAAGCGCCCUCUAAAGUGCGCUGUCUAUUCCAGUUGUUCGCUCCUUAUUUUUUCGCUUCACUUUAGAGUGCUUUGUAAUAAAGCGCCCUCUAAGGUGGGCUGUCUAUUCCAGUUUUUGGCGUAGUGAAUGUUAUAAUCGUAUCCUAGCAGUGUUUUGACAUUAUCUGUUUGAUCCUGGUUCAGACUCUAGAUGUUAGUAUGACUACUAAGGAAUGGAUUAUAAUUGUUCUUUUAUGAAAAGAAAUUAUUGUGGUGUCUGAACCAAGGACAAAGAAUUAUAAAGGUGGUGUCUGAACCAAGGACAAAGAAUUAUAAAUAUGGUGUCUGGACUAAGGACAAAAUUUGUAUUGGAGGUGUCUUAACCAAGAACAAGAAAUUUAAAGUGGUGUCUUAACCAAGAAAAAUAAAUUUAAAGUGGUGUCUUAACCAAGAACAAGAAAUUGAAAGCGGUGUCUUAACCAAGAACAGGAAAUUGAAAGUGGUGUCUAAACCAAGAACAUGAAAUUGAAAGUGGUGUCUAAACCAAGAACAGGAAAUUGAAAGUGAUGUCUUAGCCAAGAACAAGAAAUUGAAAGUGGAGUCUAAACCAAGAACAGGAAAUUGAAAGUGGUGUAUGGACAAAGAGAUAGGUGUUUUAACCAAGAGAUAGUGAUUAACCCAAAGAGAGGUGCUUUAACCAAGAGACGGUGACUAACCCAAAUAGAGGUGUUUUAACCAAAGGGAGUAUGAUUAAGAAAUGUUUUUGAUAUUGGUUGUGAUUGAUUUUAGUUUGAAGAUGAAUAUUCAUACAUGGAACUCUGCAGUAAUGUCUGAAUCAUUCGGGGGGAAAGAGUUUUCACCCUCCUCUUUUUACUUCCUUUUAUUAUGAAAAUGGUAUGCACUUGAAUUGUACUAAAGUCUAUGAAUAGAGGUGAAUACUUUGAACAACUGGGUCAUGUGUCCCGUAUCCAAAGAUAUUCAAAAUAAGGAUAGGAAUGCUCCAUCUUAUUCCUUCUUCAUUUCUUAAGGCUUAAGGCGCAUAAUUUGCAUCGUAGUUGUCAAGUGUUUUGAGUUUAUUUAAGAAAAAAGAAAUUUUAGUUUUAAAUGGUAAAAGAGAGAGAUAUAUGAUUGAAAGAAUGAGAUAUGAUGCCAAAGAAUGGGAAUAAAGUUUAAUUCGGUCAUGUCUUGGUGGUUACCUAUUUAUAGGGCUUUAAAGAUGAAUAGAAUUGUGAUUGACCCAAGGGAACAUGUGUCGUACAAGCCCUAAUGCCUCUAAUUCAAAUUAAGUGAUGACGGGACUUUUGAUCACCUAAUUGAAUAAGGUCCUAAGGGAGCAUGCAAUUUGUUUAAAGGAGCAACUAAAUAAUCCUAAAGUCAUUAAUUCAAUUAAUUGACCAAAAUAAUUUCAAUCAAUUAAUUGAACCAAGACACAUGGGGAUCAUGAAAAAAACUAGGUCAGGCUUAUUAAGAAGAAUCAAGCGAGCAUUGUGAAUUAAAGAUCAUGAAAAAUAAAAAAUCAAGAUUAAUGAUAUUAACCCUAAUUUCAUAAUGUACUCUAAUCUAAUCAUGUGUAGAAAUUAACGCUAAGUUAGGAUACAAAUCCUAAAUUUAAUACUAACCUAAUGAUGAUUAAAACAAAAUUGAUGUAGUAAAAAACUAAAAUAAAUUGUCAAAAAAUUUAAAUAAAUAAAUAAAGGUACACUCUGCCAAGGGGUAUAAAAUUGUGAGAGGGUGUGACUAGUCAAUGGGCGCAGGGCCCAUGACUUGAAGGCCCACGCAUUUUUUAUUUAUUUGAUUCAGAAAUUUGGGGUGAGAAAGGAGAAAUGGGUGUGUGUUGGAGUAAAAGGUUUAUUGGGCUUGGAUGAAGCCUAGGAAGAAGUUCAUCAUGAGGGAAAAGGCGUGAAUCUCUCUCAUACUCAUACCAGACCUCUUCUCUCCCCUCUCUCGCACCUCACUGGAAAUCACUUCAUCGUGCCGAAAAUAUCCUCCGGCGGUGGCAGAGCCCAGAACAUGGCUAAAAUACCACCAACAAACUCAUAUCACUGUCCUCUUUCCAUCUUUAACCUAUAUCAUCUCUAAAAAUUACCCUAAACUUUUUAUCCAACUAAAACACAUAAGAACCCUAUAAACUUCAAAGAGAAAUUAAAUGAUGCGCAUCCAUGGACUCAAAGCAAAACUUUGGGGAUUUUACUCAUCUACACAAGUUCUAUAGUGUGGUAACAAGCCUGGAGCAAGCAAGUGAAUAAUCAAGUAAAUGGAUACUUACCAACAGGGAGGAGAUUGCCCCUGGUAAUUGCUGAAAAGCGCGUUGAAGACGAAGAUGAAAUAAAGUAGAAACCUAUAGACUUUUGAUUCCAAGGUAAGAGUAUUCUUCCUAAUUUCACACUUCACUAUCAUUCUGCUUCUUCCCUCUUCCUUGACUUUUCUUGAGUUUCUGGUUGCUACGUUGUUACUGUAGAGUAGGAUGGUGUUGAGAUUAGGAUGAUUACUUUAUGAGGUUAGGUUGAAUUUGCAGUGAUGAUGAAGAUAGAUAAUUGAGUUAAGGUGUAUGAUGUAGGGGCCAAGAUCUAUUGCACAUAGCUCCAAAGGUUUAAGCUUUAUCAAGGUGGAGAUAAAGAUCUUUAGAGUGAGUUAUGGGGAGUUUGGGAUCUUGCUUUGAACUUUUGCAGCUCACAGCGCCACCAUUUAAGCAAAAUACAUAACCAAAUUGUGAUCUAAAAUCGUCAUUAUCUUUUUGGAAGCCGGCAUCGGUGUAUCCAAUUACAAUGAGCUCUUCCUCGCCUCCAUAUAUCAAGAAUGAGUCCUUAGUCCUUCUAAAGUACUAAAGGAUAUUAUUGACAGCAACCCAAUGAGCAUCACUUUGAUCAGAUUGGUACCUACUCGUUGCACUUAAAGAAUACGAGACAUCUGGUCGAGUACAUAAGAUGGCAUACAUGAUAUAUCCUAUUGCAAAUGCAUAUUGAAUCUUAUUCAUGCGAUCAUUUUCUUCCUUAGUUAAAGGGGAUUAUGUUUUUGAUAGACACAAGCCAUGUUGCAUAGGUAUGAAUCCUUUCUUGGAAUCAUGCAUAUUAAAGCGUCUCUGCACUUUGUCUAUGCAUGUACUCUGACUUAGGCCAAGCAGUUUUUGUGAUCUAUCUCUAUAGAUCCUAAUUCCUAGUAUAUAGGCUACUUCAUCCAGGUCCUUCAUAGAAAAGUAUUUCCCUAACUAAGUUUUUACUUGUUGCAAGGUAGGGACAUCGUUUCCAAUGAGUAAUAUGUCAUCUACAUAUAAUAUCAGGAAGAUGAUCAUGCUCUCACUAACAUUCUUAUAGACACAAGGUCCAUCUUCAUUUUUGAUGAAUCCAUAUUGUUUUACCAUUUCAUCAAAUUUAAGAUUCUAGCUUUUGGAAGCUUGCUUCAAUUCAGAGAUUGAUCGAUGUAACUUGUAUAUCUUUUAGGCUUCUUCUGGUAUGUCAAAUCCUUCAUAUUGUGUCAUGUACACAUCCUCAAGAAAAUUCCCAUUAAGGAAAGCAGUCUUGACAUCCAUCUUCCAUAUUUCAUAAUCACGAUAUGUAGCGAUAACAAGUAAAAUUCGAAUAGAUUUAAGUAUUGCAACUAGUGAAAAGGUUUCAUCAUAGUCUAUACCAUGAAUCUGCUUAUAUCCCUUAGCAACCAGUCUUGCCUUAUAGGUAUGUACCUUACCAUCCAUGUCAGUCUUCUUUUUAAAGACCCAUUUGCACCCUAUAAGAUUAACUCCUACAAGAGGCUCUACCAAGGUCCAACCCUGGUUUGUGUACAAGGAAUCCAUUUCAGAUUUCAUGGCUUCUAUCCAUUUCUCAGACUCGGGACUAGUGAUAGUCUCUUGGUAGGUCACAGGCUCAUCUUGAUCCAUGAGUAGUAUAUCACCUUGAUCGGUUACGAGAUAACCAUAUCUCUUAAGUUGGUGACGUAUCAUGUUUGACCUACACUAGUCUUAUUCUACUUGAUCAAGUUUCUCUUCCACUACUACUUGUGUUUCCUGCUCCGGUUCCUCCAUAGGUGUAUUAAUGCUUUAUGAUUCUUGAACUUCUUUAAGCUCUACUUUCCUCCCACUGAUUCCUCUGGAAAUAAAGUCCCUUUCCAUGAAUACUCCAGUUCAAGUGACAAACACUUUUCUCUCAGAAGAAUUGUAGAAGUAAUACCCUUUUGUUUCUUUAGGAUACCCCACAAAUAAAUAUUUGUCAGAUCUGGGCUCAAGCUUAAUUGAAAUUUGUCGUUUCACAUAAACUUCACAAUCCAAAAUCUGCAUGUAAGACAUAUGUGGUUUCUUACCACUCCAUAUCUCAUAUGGCGUCUUCUCAACCUUUUUGGAUGGAACACGAUUAAGUGUGUAAGCUUCUAUCAAUAGAGCAUGUCCCCAAAGGGAGUUUGGAAGAUCAGAAUAACUCAUCAUGGAUCUGAUCAUGUCUAACUAGGUUUUAUUUCUUCUUUAAGAUAUACCACUCCAUUAUGGUGUUCCAGGAGGAGUGUGUUGGGAUAGAAUCCCAUGCUCUUUUAGAUGGUCAUCAAACUUUAUGCUUAAAUAUUCACCGCCUCGAUUUGAUCGAGGAGUUUUAAUAUUCUUACUUAGUUGGUUUUGUACUUCAUUCUUGAAUUCCUUGAACUUUUCAAAGGAUUCAGAUUUGUGUUUCAUUAAAUACACAUAACCAUAUCUGCUAAAAUCAUCAGUAAAUGUGAUGAAUUAUUGAAAACCUCAUUUGGAUGGUAUGUUCAAUGGUCCACAUACAUCAGUAUGUAUAAGGGACAAAAGAUCAUUAUCCCUUUCACCUUUUUUCUGUGAAUGGGAACUUUGUCAUCUUUCCAAUUAAAUAAGAUAUGCAUGUAUCAUAUGAUUCGUAAUCAAAAGAGUCAAAGAGUCCAUCUUUAUGGAGUUUAGGAAUGCGAUUAUCAUUUAUAUGGCCUAAGCGACAAUGCUAAAGAUAACUUGGAUUUAACUAAUUAGGUUUCAUCCUUUUAGUAUUAAUGUUAUAAAUUGACAUUUCAAGAUCAAGGACAUACAGUUCAUUGUUCAUUUGUGUAGUGGCAUAUAAUACAUCAUUCAAGUAAAUAUAGCAACAAUUAUCCUUUAUUAUGAAUGAAAAACCAAACUUAUCUAAACAAGAAACAGAAAUAAUAUCCCUGCUAAUUGUAGAUACAUAAUAACAGUUCUCUAACUGAAUUAUUAAACCAGUAGGUAAAGUUAAUACAUAAGUUCUUACGGCUAAAGCAAUAAUCUUUGCUCCAUUGUCAACUCGUAGAUCAACUUCACUUUUUGACAAUUCUCUACUCCUUUUUAGCCCCUGCACAUUAGUACAAAUGUGAGAAGCACAUCCAGUAUCUAAUACCCCUGAGGCAGGAGUAGAUAAAUUUAUUUUUAUAACAAAAAUUCCUGAAGUUGAAGUACCUAAUUCGUUCUUCUUAUCUUCCAGGUACUUUGGACAAUUUCUCUUCCAGUGCCCAGUCUUACCGCAAUAGAAACAAGUGUCCACCUUUGUUAUACCUCCACUAGGCUUCAAAGAAUGAGCAGUAGGUUUGGGUCUAGCAACUUCCUUGACUUUCCCUUUACCACCCUGCUUGGUGGGCCUUUUGUUUUACUUCUUUCCAUUAUUGACCAUCAGAAUGGACUUCUCUUUUUACUUCAAAUUCUACUCAGUAUUUUUUAAUAUGCCUAACAGCUCUAGAAGACUUUUGACCAUAUCAUUCAUGUUGAAAUUAAGGACAAAUUGACUGAAUCUCUUCGGCAACGAUUGCAGGAUCAAAUCAGUCGUAAGCUCUUAUUUUAGGGGAAAAUCCAACCUUUCAAGUUUCUCCACAUACCCAAUCAUCUUGAGUACAUGGUGACCUACUAGGGCUCCCUCAUCUAGAUUUCCAUAAAAAGGAUUUUUAAAACUUCAAAUCUCUCAUAUUUUUCAUGCUCUUGAUAGAGCACUUCAGGUGUUUGAUCGUAUCGAACGUUGCCAUGUUUUCAUGUUGCUUUUACAAUUCAUAAUUCAUGGUAGCCAACAUGAGGCAAGCAGUUUCAUUGCCAUCAUCGACAUGCUUCUUAUAAGCAUCUCUUUCAGCCUUAGGAGCAGAACUAUGAGGCUCCUCUUCAGAAACAAGUGUCUCUAAGACAUACAGUUUUUUUAUCAUGUUUGAGGACAAUCCUCAGCUUUCGGUGUCAAUCCAGAAAAUUUGUCCCAGACAAUUUUUCCUUAUCAAUGGUUGAUCAUAAAAUAUUGAUAGAGGUGUUUGUUGUCAUGGUAAUCUACAUAAAAAAAUGAAAAUAUAAGUAUCAUUAAAAUCAACAUAUUCAAUUAGGCCUUUAAUUAAAUAUGCUCCCACUAUUUUACUCAAAUCAAAUAACCCCCACCAUUUGAUUCAGAAAAUCCUGUUGAAAAUUUUUUUAGUGGAUUGAGAUUCAUAUUUCACUUUGUUUUAAGUCAGCGUUAAGAUGAUUACACAAAAUUAGGUUAUUUAGGUACGAACUUCUUCCAAUUGUAUCUAAUACAAUUCUCGAAUACUAUCAGUUAGGUGAAUAACUCUUUAUUUUAAUUCAUCAUAUGGAUUGCUUCCAACUCUUGCUUCUAAACGUAUAUAAUCUUAUUAUAAUUUGUUUAGUUAAGCUUGACCCAAUAUUUUAGCAAAUGAAUAUUACAUUUAUCUCAUCGCACCUUAAUAAUAUAAAACAUGCACAUCGCGUUAGGCAAAACCUACAUUAUUUGAUACUAAUAUUGAUGAGUGUUAUAAUUUAGAAUGCUUAAACUUAAUAUUUGGUUUAAGGGAAUUGUGAUUAGUUUGAUCAUACCGACUUAUUCAUCAUAUAAAUCGUCUCUCACAUGCAUCAACGUAAAUUCACAUGCAUUAACAUACAUAAACAAAAUAAAACAGCUAUGGCCCCUAGUGGAAUGCUUAAACUUAAUAUUUGAUUUGAGGGAAUUUUGAUUACUUUGAUCUUACUGGCUUAUUUAUCAUAUAAAUCGUCUCUCACAUGCAUCAACAUACAUUCACAUGCAUCAACAUACAUUCACAUGCAUUAACAUACAUAAAUAAAAUGAAACUGUUAUGUCCCCUAGCGCAAUUUUCCUCUCAAGCCGAUGAGAGAACCUAAGCUAAACACAAUAACGACAUACACGCUUCUCCAAGCUAGAUCUCCAUGGUUGUCCUCUUUUGAUAUUGCAUUCUUCUCUUUCUUCAUAACAUUAUAUUACAUAAAAGAAUACUCAUUUUACAUACGAGAGAGUGAGAUGAGAAGAUAAAUUACAUAGGAAGUGUAUAGAGAAAGACACGACACGCAAGUCGUAUUUAAAAUUCUCAAAAAUAAAUAAAUAGAUAAAAAGGACUAAAGUCAUAAUCGGCCGAAAAAGAGAAAAAGUGAGAGAAAAAGAGAAAUUAUGGUCAGGGUUCACCGGCCGAAUUUCAUCAACUAAGAAAGCUUAUACACAAGGGUUGUAUUUAUAGAAUCAGUUGUAUGGGUUGAAGCUAAAAAGUCCAAUUUAAGUGCACCAUAUAAUAAUAAUAAUAAUAAUAAUAAAUAAUGAAUAACUAUUAUUAUAAUAAACAUAUUUUUUUAUUAUUAUAUUUUUAUAAAUAUUAUUAUUAUUAUUAUUAUUAUUAUUAUUAUUAUUAUUAUUAUUAUUAUAUUAAUUAUUAUUAUUAUAUUAUACGAUGUUCCAUAUUUCACUUAAGUACACCUUACCUUGUGGUGUUCCAUAAUUUUCUCAAUUACACUGUACCUUACAAUGUUCCUUAUUUAUUCUAUUUCUCAUCAAUAUGUCCUUAUGUGUAUGACCUUGUAGAUUCUCGUGACGUUGACAAUUAUAUUAAAUUAUAUAUUUAAUAUAGUAAAUUAUGAACGGUAUCUAGCAACACAUCACCGCUACCCAAGUCACGAAAAUGUCAUGUGAUUUGACAACCUUUUCGUGAUAAUAUUAGUGUAUACAAUUACUAUUUUGCCCUCAUGUCUAUAUUGAGCACAAGGCUUUGACUGUGUCACUCUUGUCUAGUUCAAUAUUGGAUCCUUAGACAUUUGUCCUGUUACGCAGAAUGGGAAAAUUUCAUCUAGGUCACUGAUGCCCCUUAACAUACUUUAUAAAGUAUCCAUCAAAUGUCUUUAUGGUCAUCCAGUUAUGGACAAUGUUUAAUCAACAAUAAAGUACCCGACUCCACAUCUAGGGUCCAUAGGAUUUUAGGUCGAAGGGUGGUAUACACCACUAUCACCAUGAGAAUAACUUAUGACACUUUGCAUAGCUUUUUAUGUAGUAUUCUCAUAGUGGGUCAAUCCAAUAUAAAUAUUACUCAUAAUAUCCAUAUACCUAUGUGAAGACUUGAUAACUCUUUAUUUAUGACCCAUGAGAUGUGAUCAUCAUUCUAUCCACAUAAUAGUCUCAAUGUUUUAAUGUUAUCCAACUUCAAAAUAAAGCUCGACUAUGAAUAAUUUAAGAAUAAUAUCUUUAUGUUUAAUAGGAUCUCAUGAUUAAGUCACACUUAUCAUUUUAUUAAAUGGGCUAGCUAUUUUAAAGACUUUAUCAUUUUGAAAAAACAUAAUAAAAAAUAUCUUCUUAAUUAUUAAUAAAUAAAUCGAUACAAGUAUCAAAACUAUUGGCUCUAGGACUUACAUAAAAAAUGUCCAUAUUGUAUCUACAUUCCCCUAUUAAGGAAAAAGAUUGGUUCCUCCUAUUCUUACAUUCUAAUCAAGCAGUUGAAUAUUUGAAUUAGUUCUCCGCUCACAACUUGUCUCAUGGAUCACAUCUAUAAAUAUCCCAACCCCUAGGAUUAGAGGGGAUGUUCACUUUUUACCUAAUUAGAAUCCUAAAGCCCUCGUGCACUCUCUAACACAAUCAAGAUUCACAUUUACGACAAGUACAUUUCUUUUUCAAAUAAGUUCUUAAUUAAUAUCACUAGUAAUGUAUUUAGAUAAAACAUUUUAGUGAGAUAAUGUGAUAUUUUGAGAGAAUUUAAAAUGAUUUGUACAAAAUUUUAUUUGGAUAAAAAAAUAUAAAAAUUUGUUAAAAUGAUGAAAAUCUAUUAAGUAUUUUGCCCAAAUUAAAUUUAAUAAUCUUGAAAUGACACUUAAAAUCAAAAAAAAAAUCUCUCAUACUCUAAAGAAUUUGAAUAACAAAUUGGUUAAUAUUAUUAUUUUUAAUUUUGCAAAUUGAUCCCCAUAUUUUUCAAAAAAUUUCGACUCCUAAAAUUUCCUAAAAAAUUGCAAAUUGGUCUAGAAUAAUUUUCAAAUUGGUCUCUUUAAAUUUUAAAAUUUACAAAUUAGUCAUUUUUAAAAUUUAAAUGUUGACCUAAACAUUUUAAAAUUUUAAUGUUGACCUAAACAUUUUAAAAUUUAUAAAAACUUACUCCAAAAAUCUAACAAUAAUUUAUCCUAAUAUUCUAUCCAAACAAAAUAAUUUAAAAUAAUUUAAAUUACUUAAAAUUUUAAAUUCCUUAAAACAUUCUAAAUGUUUUAGAAUAUAAAAAGUCAAAAUUAUGCACUUCUAUUUACAGAGUAUUUCACUAUCGGAAAAAAUUCAACGAAUACUAGUAUUUAAGAACAUCCGAAAUAUAAAAUACAUAUAUCAACUACACUAUUAAUUUUUAAUAAAAGUAAAAUUAACAAUAUAAUUAUAUAAUUAAGGAAGAAUGUAAUUUUUUUUAUAUUUAAUUCUUAAGAAAAUGAGUAUCUUUAUAUAUUCGAGAUAGUUCUGAUUUCUGUAUGUAGUCCAACUCCCACCGAGUAGUAUUUAUAUUUGCCUUUGACACUAGCAUUCUACUACAGUAUUGAUUACUUGAGUUUGACUUGUAUAGUAGAGUAUUGUGCAAAUCAAGAGAGCUCUGCCUGCCAUAGCUUCCCAGAUUAAAUUUCAACAUAAAUCUCUGCCAAAAUUAAAUGCUUCCUCACUUCCAAUGUUUUCUGUGUACUUAAUACUAUGAACUAGAACCAUUAUAACCUUAUAACUAUACCAUAUAUCUUCAUUUCCUUGAUCACACUCUUCACCAUAUUUUGUAAAGAGACGGCCCUACAACACUUCUACAAAGACAACAAGAUCAUGGAGGCCAAGAAGCAGAGAAUGGCAAUCCAAAUCCAAGCACUCUCACUGAUUAUGCUACUGAUGGCUUCACCUGCUAUGACUUGUCCACCCCUAGAUGGCAGAGGAUGCAAAGACUGCAUUUUUUACCAGAUGAAAACAAGUUGUCCAUCAUGCACACCAAUCCUUCACUGCAUGGCUCGUUGCUUAUGGGAUGGCGGAUUAAAGUACGCAUGUAUCAACAAAUGUAACUGCAAUACUUGCUACCCAAAUCUCUAUGAUUGCAAGAAAUGCAUGUUAAAAUGUAAGUGUAACUGCGGCAACUAGCCCUCUUAGAAAUCACAGUACUUUCUAUUACCCUAGUUACUUGGUUUGGUUCCAAAAUAAUACUACUCUUCACUAUUAUAAGUAAAUGUUUUCUUUUCACAUACAUUGAAUACUUAAUGUCUCUUAUCUACAUCUAGAUCAGAUACAUAAGUUAUUCAAUGAACUUGAAAAUUGAAAAUAGAACUUUUGCUUAUAAUAGUGAUCUGAGACGACCUUAGGAUGUAUGGUAAGCUAUAAACUCAUGCUAUGUAUCAAAGUAGAUAAGCAAAUCCAAAACAGUUGAUGGAUCUUGUACUUGUUUUGAAUUUAUCAUAUAAUUUGAAAAUCAAAUAAGGUUAUCUAAUUUAACUAAUUCAUACCAACACCAAUUUCAUUGUCUUGUAUAUGCUUACGCUAUAACAAGCUCAUCAAGUACAAAGAUUCUUAGAUAGGUAACUAGGUACAUUACAUAACUACUUACAGUUAAGAGAUACUAAUAUUAAUAGCAUACAAAAUAUAAAACAUAGUUAUAAAUUGCAGUUUAGACAUUUUGUCAAACAGUAAGUAUGCAGGUUUAUAUACUAAAUUGGGAAUCAGGGUUCAUGAAGAAACCUUUGUAAGCACCGAAAUCCAAGAUUUUGAGCACAAAACUUCUCCAUAUCAUCACCACCUUUCUCUCUACAAAUACUUUCUUCCAUUUGUUCAAUAACUUGAUCCCAAUUGUUCAACGACCACCAAUCGCAUUCAUCAACUUUUGCUUCCGAAACAGAGUCGAGUAUCUCUUGUAAACCCACGAUCCGACGGGUGACUUUUCUCCUGGCUUCUCUCACGGCUGGAUCGAUUCCGGGAACGGAAUCGAGCUUGAGAAGUAGAUUCAUGAGUGCUUCGUUCAUUUUUAGUUUUUCCAAGUGGUUGUUGCGGAUUAAGUCUACCGUGUCUUGAAGCUGGAUUAGGCGUUGGAGGUGGUCGGCUUCAGAGUCGACGGUGGAGAUUUUGCGAUAGAGGGUGCGGAUGCGGUGGGAUCGGUAGGUGGAUUGGAUGGUGAGGGCGGCGUUGGAUUGGGAUUGGGGAGGGAGUUGAGUGGAAUUUGGGUUUUGGGGAGAGGUAGUAUGGUCAUUGUGGUAGAAGAAGUUGGGGUUGGAAUUGGAAGAGGAUUUCAUUUCAUGGGGAAAAGGGAUGAUUUUGGAGUCAGAGAUUGCAGAGAAUGGCAGCUGAAAACUCAGUUUUGAGAUAGUGGAGUUUGGUGGAAAAUAGGAAAGGACUUUUGUU